AGGGUUUGAUUAUGGCUCAGGAUGAACGCUAGCUACAGGCUUAACACAUGCAAGUCGAGGGGCAGCAUGAUUGAAGCUUGCUUCAAUUGAUGGCGACCGGCGCACGGGUGAGUAACACGUAUCCAACCUUCCGUACACUCAGGGAUAGCCUUUCGAAAGAAAGAUUAAUACCGGAUGGCAUAGUUUUCCCGCAUGGGAUUAUUAUUAAAGAAUUUCGGUUGUCGAUGGGGAUGCGUUCCAUUAGGCAGUUGGCGGGGUAACGGCCCACCAAACCAACGAUGGAUAGGGGUUCUGAGAGGAAGGUCCCCCACAUUGGAACUGAGACACGGUCCAA
rnacentral:rRNA from 1 species